CAAAUGGAAGCAGUUGGGUGAACUGGCAAUGUCUGCUGGAAUGCUGGAGAUGGCAGAGGAUUGUUUGAAAUACGCUAAUGACUUGAGUGGUUUGCUGAUGCUUUAUUCCUCGUUAGGAGAUGCUGAAGGAAUGGCUGAAUUAGCAUCUCUUGCAAAAGAGCAUGGAAGAAACAAUGUUGCAUUCCUUUGCCUGUUCCUCCUGGGUAAAGUGGAAGAUUGUGUUCAGCUGUUGGUUGACAGCAACCGGAUACCUGAGGCUGCAUUUAUG
rnacentral:misc_RNA from 1 species